UGGGGGAGGUGAAAUUUCAGCCUUCUUGGUUAACGUAACCUUGACUGACCGUUUGUACGUUGAUUUAUUAAAUAAAAUUGGCUUAGGCUCAACCCAAGCCUUUCAGCCAUAAACAUAAUAAUUAAAAAAAAACGUGAACAUUGCUUCUCCUGGCUAGUUCGUGUAGAGUUUUUAUAUUACAAGAAGAAUAGACGAAUGAAACAAUUUUGCCGUGAUUCAACUUGUUAGAUCAAAUUUUAAGCAUUUGUUCCUGCAUCUGUUAUCCGACAUGGCGAAAGGGGAAGGUGCAAUUGAUGGGUUCAGUGAUAACUGGAGUAAUUGUUCCAUUUAGUAACGUUAACCUAGUGCCAUAUGGGACAGGAAAUGGAUUCCCCAAUAUAUAGUGCAAC
rnacentral:lncRNA from 1 species